rnacentral:tRNA from 1 species
GCUCCUGUGGUGUAGACCGGCCAAGCAUUCCGGCCUUUCGAGCCGGAGAUCCCGGGUUCAAAUCCCGGCGGGAGCACCA